rnacentral:rRNA from 1 species
UGUAAGCGUAUACCAAAGUUGUUGCAGUUAAAACGCUCGUAGUCGGAAUUUGGCAGUUCCGGAUGUGUGCACGUCGUGUGCGCACUUCGCGGGGAUUGCUUUUGUGGUCUUGCGUAGGAUGAGGCACUUUUAUUAGUGAACGUCCUCACGCAACCACUUUUUACUGUGAGAAAAUCAGAGUGCUCAAAGCAGGCAUUUGCCGUGAAUGUAUUAGCAUGGAAUAAUAGAAUAGGACUUGGUUCUAUUUUGUUGGUUUGUUGGGACUGAGUAAUGAUUAAGAGGGACAGUUGGGGGCAUUUGUAUUUCGGUGCUAGAGGUGAAAUUCUUAGAUUACCGAAAGACAAACUGCUGCGAAAGCGUCUGCCAAGGAUGUUCUCAUUGA